AUUGAACGCUGGCGGCAUGCCUUACACAUGCAAGUCGAACGGCAGCGCGGGAGCAAUCCUGGCGGCGAGUGGCGAACGGGUGAGUAAUAUAUCGGAACGUGCCCAGUAGUGGGGGAUAGCCCGGCGAAAGCCGGAUUAAUACCGCAUGAGACCUGAGGGUGAAAGCGGGGGAUCGCAAGACCUCGCGCUAUUGGAGCGGCCGAUAUCAGAUUAGCUAGUUGGUGGGGUAAAGGCCUACCAGGGCAACGAUCUGUAGUUGGUCUGAGAGGACGACCAGCCACACUGGGACUGAGACACGGCCCAGACUCCUACGGGAGGCAGCAGUGGGGAAUUUUGGACAAUGGGCGCAAGCCUGAUCCAGCAAUGCCGCGUGCAGGAAGAAGGCCUC
rnacentral:rRNA from 1 species